rnacentral:lncRNA from 1 species
AGCUUCUGCAGGGCUGUACAAAGGCUUCUCAGGAGCUCAGGCUGCAUCGUAUCAUUAAAUAAAGACAAGCCAGGGAGCAGUCAUUGCCUUGAAGUCAAACGGCAUGGGCAGGCCCACAGCUGCACACCUCUUGGCCUGAAGAGAGCUCAGCCAACAAGUCCAGUGCUAGAGUUUGCUCCUGGGCCUGCAAUGGGAACAAAUCAUCCAGGACAAAAGUUGCAGCACAGAUAAAACCUGAUUUUAGCAGCCCAAGACUGCAGUUGCUCUCUGAAAACACUGCUAUGAAAUUAAGCUUAACAAGCCAGAAAAUACAACGCACUGCCAAAGAAAAAGAAACCAUUUGUACAAGCCCUCGAAGCCUACAAUCCACAUUAGUUGUUAUUUAGAGUGAAGAUAACAUAAGAUAGCAAGAGAAAAGAAGAGCUGUAUCAAUAGCCAGAGGCAAACCCAACAAAACAUGUUUGUGCAAGUGGACAGACUGGCUUUUCACAAUGGAAUCUCUGGUCAUCACAGAGAAAAUGCAAUUAAAAAGCACAGCUACAUAGCAAUGGGCUUUUCCUUCUCUGCAAAGCAGAUGUACAACCAUAUAUACGACAUAUAGAAUACUUGAAGUCCUAUCUCAGCAUUUAUAGCUUCUUAAAUGUAACAUGGCACUGCAGCUGCCUUUCUUUUUGUUACAGGCCACUGUUUUUGAGAAUGUCCUUGCCAGGAACUUGAAAUGAGAAUACAUCAGCACUCAUAUUAAAAGGUCACUGCUCAGGAACAGAAGAGGCUGCAGAGCAUCAGCAUGAAGAGGAACCCAGCGAUUGUCAGCAGCGGCAAAAGAUGUGUGUGGAAAAGUGAUGUCAAUCAGAAAACACUGAAUUAUAGAACAGGUGGAUGCAGGACAUCUUUUGAGAGCAAAGCAAGAGGCUGUGCUGCACCUUGUACAUUGACAAGAUAGUCCCUGCCCUUUUAAAACUCCCUGCCUUACAGCACGCAGUGCAAGCAGGAGAGGCAGAGGUAUCAUCAAGACAGUGCUGGGUCAGAAGGAAUUCCAGCCCCAGCUUCUCAGCUCAUUUCCAUCACUCUUCAUCUACUUAAAUUAUGAAAUGUAAAUCACACCACAGCAAGGGCGUGCCCAGUUGAAAACAGAAUCAUGGAGUUAUUAAGGUUGGUAAAGACCUCGAAGAUCACCAACCCCAACUCAUUCCACCAUGCCCACUGACCAUGUACCCAAGUGCCACAUCUCUACGUUUCUUGAACAUGUGAAGGCACGGUGACUCCCUAGGCAGCCUGUGACUCCAGCACCUCCCUAGGCAGCCUGUGCCAAAGCAUCUCCACUCUUUCCAAGAAAGAAUUUUUCCUAACAUCAAACCUUAAAGGGAAGAAUAGCUUCCUAUCAGCUAUCAGUCUGCACAGAGUGUCUAAGGAGUUCACUAAGUCCUUUGGGAGUAGCCAUUUUACAGCAACACAUAUCUGUAGGAACAUAUACAGGCUUCAGUUUGCUUGAAUCCUAACCUCAGCCCUUUUGGUAGGUGUUUUUCCUCAGGUCGCUGUGAAU